rnacentral:rRNA from 1 species
UACGUAGGGUGCAAGCGUUACUCGGAAUUACUGGGCGUAAAGCGUGCGUAGGCGGUUUGUUAAGUCUGGUGUGAAAGCCCCGGGCUAAACCUGGGAAUGGCAAUGGAUACUGGCAAGCUAGAGUGCGGUAGAGGGUAGUGGAAUUCCCGGUGUAGCGGUGAAAUGCGUAGAGAUCGGGAGGAACACCAGUGGCGAAGGCGGCUCCCUGGACCAGCACUGACACUGAGGCACGAAAGCUAGGGGAGCAAACAGG